AAUCAUUAGCCUCUUAAUUAGAGGCUAGAAUGAAAGGUUUAACAUUUCCUUAACUUUCUUAAAAAUUUAUAUAAAACUUAUAUUAAAUAUAAAAAUAUAUUUAUCUAUAAACUAGACGACAAGACCCUUUCAAACUUUACUAUAGUUUAGCUGGGGUAGCUAAAUAAUAAUUAUCUUAUUAAUUUUUUUAAAAAUAGACCCAAUUUAAAUUGAUUAAAUGACCAAGUUACUGAAGGGAUAACAGCAUAAUAAAUUUUUACAGCUCUUAUUAAAAAACUAGUUUAUGACCUCGAUGUUGAAUUAUUUUACUUUUACACGCAAGAGUAUAAAAAGUAGGUCUGUUCGACCUUUAAAAUUU
rnacentral:rRNA from 1 species